rnacentral:lncRNA from 7 species
UUGGUUGGAGUUGGUCUCUGGCUGCAGCUGUUGGUCCAGGAGAUUUUCUCAGCCCUACAUUUGUUGCUGCAUGAAUGUGGAGGAAGAGGAGAAAUCCAGAGCUAUACAUCUCAGAACACCCCAAAGUGCGCCAUGUGCAGCGGAGGUGGACAGAAGGGCUGGUCCUAUCUGCCCAAAAUGCAGCCAAGUGAGAAGGAGGCUCAGAGGACAACCAGGGUCCUGCUUCAUCCUCAUCACCCAGUUUGCUUAGGGCCAUGAAGGUCCCAUGCUGCCAUCCCAGGGAGAACAAGAGAAGGAGAUGGGCAUCACCUCCCUCCUCAGGCUGCGUUGUGAUGGAUCGUCAUCAAAGAGAUAGAGGAAGGGAACCAUGCUGCAAAUGCUUUCUGUCACCAGGCAGCUCCCUUAGACUUUGUUUCACUUUCUUACUAGAAAGCAUUAGCAGGGCAAUACAUGCAGUGGGUGCCAGGACACGGUGUCCCCAGGGACUGGCCCUCCAGCAGUGAGACCCCAUGCUCAGUGUCUCACAGGUGGCUCUUCUUGAAACUCUACCUCUGAUGGCCGUGUAAAUCUCUCAGAUCUCUGAUGGGACAUAAAUCUCCCCCAAACCGCAAUGCUUACCAAACAUUAUCACGGGAUUGAGACAUAAAUCCUGUGUCAGCCUGGCGAAACAUCUGUGGCUAUCAAGUUAACCAAGUCAAGACAGCUCCUUAACUAUUCCCAAACAUCAGCUUAUGAAGACGCAGACAAGGAGCAGCCCAUCUGAAAUGCUUUUGGAGCAGCCGUUCAUCGCAUUUGUACAAGUCAUAAACAGGUUCCAUGGCUUCUGUCUCUGCCUUGAGCUUCAGGGAACAGCAAUGUGCAGGAGUCUCAGGCUUUGCUUUUUCUUACGUUGAAGGAUAUUCUUUGUUCCCUGAAGUGUAGGUGAGGCCGUGAUUGUGCUCCAUCCCUUGGAGCCUCCAUCGUGCGCGGCAGCAUCUCAGGGCUGGUGGUGCCUGAGCUGAGCCUCUGUGCAACUGCCCAGGGAGAUCUCCCAGCAGGAGAAUGAAUCAGCCCUGCCGGCAGCUGGAGCAGCCCAAUGACGUGAGGUCAGUGGCUGGGCAGGGGAAGAUUUAAAGCCCCUUCUCUCCAGGGCAUGAACCCCUAUGAUUUGGCUGUUUCAGCAGCUGUUACGGUCCUUGAUGGCGUGAAAUGUCAGCGAUGGACUUUGCCCAACAUUUAUGUAAACUCUGAACUGUGUGCAGCCGUGGGGCCAAGCUAUAAAUCUCCCAGAAGGAGCAAGGUUGCAGAGCCUUCCAGGGCAAGCUGAAGUUGGAAGCAGAGGGAGGCUGAAUGUGUCCCUUGUCUCCCCAUGGCCUUGGAUGCAGCAUCCGAGGGGAUGCUGUCUUUGGAGAGCCUCCACCACCUACUUGGCUGGAAUCUGGGUACUUGGCCCUGCCCUGUGUUUUUCAAGGGUCACCUGCUCCUCAUGUUUCCUCUGCUCUGUAGAGGGUCUUAGAGCAUCCCGCUGAAGGGCCCAUCUUGGUGUCCCCAGAUCGAGGGCAUGGCACUAAGGGGCGUGGGCUGCUGAUAGGACUCUGUAGGUCAAGUCAGUGAUUGGAGCCAAUGAUCU